AAGUCGUAACAAGGUUUCCGUAGGUGAACCUGCGGAAGGAUCAUUAAUGAACGAACAAGAGUCAGGUUGAUGCUGGUCGACAGACAACGUGCACGCCUUUCUCUCCUUCAUUCGUAUCUACCCCUUUACAAGUGCACCCCUAUGUAGGCUCAGGGGUGGGAGACCCCCCCUCAGUCCUAUGUGUCACACACCCCCUAAGUAACAAACCUUGAAUGCGUAUACGAAGUCUUGUUCUUCGAUAAAAUUAAUACAACUUUCAACAACGGAUCUCUUGGCUCUC
rnacentral:misc_RNA from 1 species